rnacentral:rRNA from 1 species
AACGAACGCUGGCGGCAUGCCUAACACAUGCAAGUCGAACGAAGCCUUCGGGCUUAGUGGCGCACGGGUGCGUAACGCGUGGGAACCUGCCUUUAGGUUCGGAAUAACUCAGAGAAAUUUGAGCUAAUACCGGAUAAUGUCUUCGGACCAAAGAUUUAUCGCCUUUAGAUGGGCCCGCGUAGGAUUAGCUAGUUGGUGGGGUAAAGGCCUACCAAGGCGACGAUCCUUAGCUGGUCUGAGAGGAUGAUCAGCCACACUGGGACUGAGACACGGCCCAGACUCCUACGGGAGGCAGCAGUGGGGAAUAUUGGACAAUGGGCGAAAGCCUGAUCCAGCAAUGCCGCGUGAGUGAUGAAGGCCUUAGGGUUGUAAAGCUCUUUUACCAGGGAUGAUAAUGACAGUACCUGGAGAAUAAGCUCCGGCUAACUCCGUGCCAGCCGCCGCCGCAGUAA